rnacentral:rRNA from 1 species
AUUGAACGCUGGCGGCAUGCUUUACACAUGCAAGUCGAACGGUAACAGGCCGCAAGGUGCUGACGAGUGGCGAACGGGUGAGUAAUGCAUCGGAACGUGCCCAGUCGUGGGGGAUAACGCAGCGAAAGCUGUGCUAAUACCGCAUACGAUCUGUGGAUGAGAGCGGGGGACCGAAAGGCCUCGUGCGAUUGGAGCGGCCGAUGUCAGAUUAGGUAGUUGGUGGGGUAAAGGCUCACCAAGCCAACGAUCUGUAGCUGGUCUGAGAGGACGACCAGCCACACUGGGACUGAGACACGGCCCAGACUCCUACGGGAGGCAGCAGUGGGGAAUUUUGGACAAUGGGCGCAAGCCUGAUCCAGCAAUGCCGCGUGCAGGAAGAAGGCCUUCGGGUUGUAAACUGCUUUUGUACGGAGCGAAAAGGCUCUCUCUAAUACAGGGGGCUCAUGACGGUACCGUAAGAAUAAGCACCGGCUAACUACGUGCCAGCAGCCGCGGUAACAC